CCUCCCCCAACCCGCCAACCACGUCCGGCCGCCGCCCACCCUGCUCCGACGCGCCCCCGGGCCCUCCUCCUUUCGGGCGCGCGGGCGCACCGCCGGCCCCGCCACCUCCCGACGCGCCGCGGCCCCGCCUCCUCCAGGCGCGCCACCGCCCCGCCUUCUUCCGGUGCAAGGCCACCGCCCCCACCUCCUCCUAGCACGCCGUCGCCUUCUUCUGGUGCAAGGCCGCCGCCCCCACCUCCUCCUAGCACGCCGUCGCCCUCGCCUCCUUCCGGCGCAAGGCUGGCCCCUUCCUUCAGGGCGAGGUGGAUUUGGACUUCAACCCCUCCCGCUCCUCCCAUGCGCCGCCGCGCGUACCCACCCAGAACCUCACUUGCUCCCGUGUCGUCCUGCUCGUCCGGCUAGCGGGACAAGACUAUGUCCUGUCGUGAGAGUGAGAGCGGCACAGAGGAUGUCGCCGACGACGACGCAACGGAGCCGGGCAAGUACAUGAUGUGGGCGCGCCACUGGUGCCUAGUCUCACAGCCCUUGUUCGUCUCUGUGAUGCUACAGGAAGUUCGAUUCAGCAGCCCGAGCUCGUUCAAAUGCAUGAACUAAAAAGUUCGAGCUGCCUCUCAUGGUCAUCCAUCAGUGAGAUGCCUGGAGGACUCCUCCAUCGACUUGCAGGUUCGGCAAUGGAUAAGGAAGCUGCCCUUGACCAUUUUCUCGUGUACAGGCUGCAUGAGGCGUACAGAUCCAACUCCCCCGCCCGGCAGCUAUGGCAUGUGGCUGCCCAGCACAUCAGCGCCCCCCAAGGUCCAUUUUCUAAGUGAUUUUCUUGUCUGAAGUUCAGACGUACUUGCAGGCACGACCAUGACGAAACAGCUCAUCCUAUUUUGGACAGGAAAUCAGAGGAAUAGGCGGAAUGCAAUUAAGAGAUAAUGGGGAAACGAGGGUUCAAAGAUAUUUUUUAGUACAUGCGGAGAGCUUUUUCAGUGCACUGUAGCCAAAAAUCUACUCUGAAGGCCAAACUACUGACGUGUGGCUUGCUAGCACUAGUAGAUCUUGGGAUAUGGGCACACUAGGAAGAAGACAGAAAAGAAAAUGGUGAGUUGGAGAUCGCAAGUUCACUGCUCAAAAGGAUAAGAUCCCUGUUGGUUUUAUAUAGAGAACACCCACCGAGGGUAAAAAGAGCAUCGCUUUGUCCAAGUCCACCAAUCAAAUUUUUGCUCUGUUUAAAGGUUUACGUCACUGUCUAAAAUUGUUGAUUGUUUCUGUAUGUUUGAGCAUCCGACUUAAGUUUCAUUUGUGAGGCGGUUUAAUUA